GAGUGGACUCCUACGGGAGGCAGCAGUGGGGAAUAUUGCACAAUGGGCGAAAGCCUGAUGCAGCAACGCCGCGUGAACGAUGAAGGUCUUCGGAUCGUAAAGUUCUGUUGCAGGGGAAGAUAAUGACGGUACCCUGUGAGGAAGCCCCGGCUAACUACGUGCCAGCAGCCGCGGUAAUACGUAGGGGGCUAGCGUUAUCCGGAUUUACUGGGCGUAAAGGGUGCGUAGGUGGUCCUUCAAGUCGGUGGUUAAAGGCUACGGCUCAACCGUAGUAAGCCGCCGAAACUGGAGGACUUGAGUGCAGGAGAGGAAAGUGGAAUUCCCAGUGUAGCGGUGAAAUGCGUAGAUAUUGGGAGGAACACCAGUAGCGAAGGCGGCUUUCUGGACUGCAACUGACACUGAGGCACGAAAGCGUGGGUAGCAAACAGGAUUAGAUACCCUUGUAGUCCGA
rnacentral:rRNA from 1 species